UGACUGCGGAGGAUCAUUACUGAACUGUCGACACGAGUUGUUGCUGGUCCUCGAAAGGGGGCAUGUGCACGCUCUGUUUACACAUCCACUCACACCUGUGCACCCUCUGUAGUUCUGUGGCCUUGGGGACUCUGUCCUCUUGCUGUGGUCCUACGUCUUUACAUACACACCGUAAUACAGUCUCAUGGAAUGUAGUCGCGUUUAACGCAAUACAAUACAACUUUCAGCAACGGAUCUCUUGGCUCUCGCAUCGAUGAANAACGCAGCGAAAUGCGAUAAGUAAUGUGAAUUGCAGAAUUCAGUGAAUCAUCGAAUCUUUGAACGCACCUUGCGCCCUUUGGCUAUUCCGAAGGGCAUGCCUGUUUGAGUAUCAUGAACACCUCAACUCUCAUGGUCCGCCAUGAUGAGCUUGGACUUUGGAGGUAUUGCCGGCCUAACCGUCAGCUCCUCUCAAAUGGAUCAGCUNGNCAGUGUUUGGUGGCAUCACGGGUGUGAUAACUAUCUACGCUCGUGGUCUUCUGCCAUGUAACCUUCAGUGAUGGANGUUCGCUGGAGCUCACAGACGUCUCUCCUCAGGGAGGACAGCAUUUUGAACGUUUGAUCUCAAAUCAGGUAGGACUACCCGCUGAACUUAAGCAUAUCAAUA
rnacentral:sRNA from 1 species